AAACAACGACGAUGCGCUUCCACGCGAGGAAACACGGAUCGUCUUUGCUAUGAUUGAAAACUUGGAAACUCUAGGUAGGCAGAUUUAGUUAAGCAAAGGGUUCUCCGAAAGAAGCUAAAAGGACCUCUAGAAUUUUGCACACGGCUCGUCUGUUGUUACUAUCAAUUGAAAACUCGGAAACUUUAGAUAAAGAGCUUUAAUAAAGCAAAAGGUUCUCCAAAAGGACCUGUAGAAUUUUACUUCUUCAACGGCUAAAUAGUUUACCCGUUAACGUACUUUAAAGACAUAUUAACUUCCGAUUAAUGCACAAAGAAAACGGCACACUUUGGCACCUUUUUAACCGACUUCGAAAAGGAAGAGAUUACUCAAUUUGACGUGUAUAUUUUUUUUUUUUUUCACCAACGAUGUUACUAACAUCGCAAGAAUAGCAGUCUAAAUACAAAGCUGCGAUAUACAAAGGACACGAUCUUAUAACAGCACUUGAUCCCCAAUGAUCAAGCAGUCGAUGAUGCGUAAAACAAAACCGUAU